GACGAACGCUGGCGGUGUGCUUAACACAUGCAAGUCGAACGGUAAGGCCCUUUCGGGGGUACACGAGUGGCGAACGGGUGAGUAACACGUGAGUAACCUGCCCUCAUCUCUGGGAUAACAGUCGGAAACGGUUGCUAAUACUGGAUAUGAGCUUGCAAGGCAUCUUGUGGGUUGGAAAGAUUUUUUUGGUUGGGGAUGGACUCGCGGCCUAUCAGCUUGUUGGUGAGGUAGUGGCUCACCAAGGCUUCGACGGGUAGCCGGCCUGAGAGGGCGACCGGCCACAUUGGGACUGAGAUACGGCCCAAACUCCUACGGGAGGCAGCAGUGGGGAAUAUUGCACAAUGGACGGAAGUCUGAUGCAGCAACGCCGCGUGCGGGAUGACGGCCUUCGGGUUGUAAACCGCUUUCAAUUGUGACGAAGCUUUUUGUGACGGUAGCAGUAGAAGAAGCACCGGCUACCUACGUG
rnacentral:rRNA from 1 species